GACGAACGCUGGCGGCGUGCUUAACACAUGCAAGUCGAACGGAAAGGCCUGCUUUCCCUUGUGGAUUGCGGGUACUCGAGUGGCGAACGGGUGAGUAACACGUGAGUGAUCUGCCCCCAACUUGGGUAUAAGCCUGGGAAACUGGGUCUAAUUCCCGAUAGGACUGCAGGGUGGUGCCUGUGGUGGAAAACGAUUUUCUAGUGGUUGGGGAUGAGCUCGCGGCCUAUCAGCUUGUUGGUGGGGUAAUGGCCUACCAAGGCGGCGACGGGUAGCCGGCCUGAGGGGGUGGACGGCCACAUUGGGACUGAGAUACGGCCCAGACUCCGACGGGAGGCAGCAGUGGGGAAUAUUGCACAAUGGGCGGAAGCCUGAUGCAGCGACGCCGCGUGGGGGAUGACGGCCUUCGGGUUGUAAACUCCUUUCGACCGCGAGGAAGCCACCUGGUUGGAGGGGUGGUGACGGUAGUGGUAGAAGAAGCACCGGCUAACUACGUG
rnacentral:rRNA from 1 species